AUGGAACAAUUAAAAAAUAUAGAUACGACGGAGACGUAUCAGACAACUAUGUUGGGUAGAGUGGAAGAACUAAUUGAUCUGCAUUCUGGUCAAUGGGAUGAGGAGCUGGUACGAUCGAUCUUCUCACCGGUGUAUGUGCAUAGAAUUUUGCAAAUACCACUUCAAAUAGAGGUGAUGUACGAUUUUAUUGCGUGGUACCAUACUCGGUCUAGCACAUUCUUUGUAAGAUUUGUGUAUCACGUUGAAUUUGAACACAAAUUUGGUCACAAUUGGAACCGGAAUGACAGAACGGGCAGCCAUCAAGAGAGGAAAGGUUAA
rnacentral:rRNA from 1 species